UCUUUGGCAUUAUAAUUUCAGGUACUACUGCAAGCAGGAAGGAUGAGAAGGAGAAAGAAGAAAUUCUUUUCUUUGUAACUCCUGGGGCAAAUGUUGACCUGUGAUGUCUCUCUAUAUUGUGUAGCCCACAAAGGAUAUACAAAAGGAGGCCCAUGUUGAUUCAGAGGAUGAAUGAGAGGAACUAUAGAGUUUGCUUCGUAGAUCAAAGGAAAGAUGAG